GAACGCACCUUGCGCUCCUUGGUAUUCCGAGGAGCAUGCCUGUUUGAGUGUCAUUAAUAUAUAUAUCAAACUUCUCUUGUUGAGUGGUUUGGAUGUGUGGGGGUUUGCUGGCAUCUUAAAAAAGGUUCAGCUCCCCUGAAAUGCAUUAGCAGAACAACCUGUUCAUUGGCGUGAUAACUAUCUACGCUAUUGAAUGUGAGGGGCAGUUCAGCUUUCUAACAGUCCUUGGACAAAUCAUCAUUAAUGUGACCUCAAAUCAGGUAGGACUACCCGCUGAACUUAAG
rnacentral:misc_RNA from 1 species